rnacentral:rRNA from 1 species
AGAGUUUGAUCAUGGCUCAGGACGAACGCUGGCGGAGUGCCUAAUACAUGCAAGUAGAACGCUGAAGGGAGGAGCUUGCUCUUCUUGGAUGAGUUGCGAACGGGUGAGUAACGCGUAGGUAACCUGCCUUGUAGCGGGGGAUAACUAUUGGAAACGAUAGCUAAUACCGCAUAACAAUGGAUGACACAUGUCAUUUAUUUGAAAGGGGCAAUUGUUCCACUACAAGAUGGACCUGCGUUGUAUUAGCUAGUAGGUGAGGUAAUGGCUCACCUAGGCGACGAUACAUAGCCGACCUGAGAGGGUGAUCGGCCACACUGGGACUGAGACACGGCCCAGACUCCUACGGGAGGCAGCAGUAGGGAAUCUUCGGCAAUGGGGGCAACCCUGACCGAGCAACGCCGCGUGAGUGAAGAAGGUUUUCGGAUCGUAAAGCUCUGUUGUAAGUCAAGAACGGGUGUGAGAGUGGAAAGUUCACACUGUGACGGUAGCUUACCAGAAAGGGACGGCUAACUACGUGCCAGCAGCCGCGGUAAUACGUAGGUCCCGAGCGUUGUCCGGAUUUAUUGGGCGUAAAGCGAGCGCAGGCGGUUUGAUAAGUCUGAAGUUAAAGGCUGUGGCUCAACCAUAGUUCGCUUUGGAAACUGUCAAACUUGAGUGCAGAAGGGGAGAGUGGAAUUCCAUGUGUAGCGGUGAAAUGCGUAGAUAUAUGGAGGAACACCGGUGGCGAAAGCGGCUCUCUGGUCUGUAACUGACGCUGAGGCUCGAAAGCGUGGGGAGCGAACAGGAUUAGAUACCCUGGUAGUCCACGCCGUAAACGAUGAGUGCUAGGUGUUGGAUCCUUUCCGGGAUUCAGUGCCGCAGCUAACGCAUUAAGCACUCCGCCUGGGGAGUACGACCGCAAGGUUGAAACUCAAAGGAAUUGACGGGGGCCCGCACAAGCGGUGGAGCAUGUGGUUUAAUUCGAAGCAACGCGAAGAACCUUACCAGGUCUUGACAUCCCGAUGCUAUUUCUAGAGAUAGAAAGUUACUUCGGUACAUCGGUGACAGGUGGUGCAUGGUUGUCGUCAGCUCGUGUCGUGAGAUGUUGGGUUAAGUCCCGCAACGAGCGCAACCCCUAUUGUUAGUUGCCAUCAUUCAGUUGGGCACUCUAGCGAGACUGCCGGUAAUAAACCGGAGGAAGGUGGGGAUGACGUCAAAUCAUCAUGCCCCUUAUGACCUGGGCUACACACGUGCUACAAUGGUUGGUACAACGAGUUGCGAGUCGGUGACGGCGAGCUAAUCUCUUAAAGCCAAUCUCAGUUCGGAUUGUAGGCUGCAACUCGCCUACAUGAAGUCGGAAUCGCUAGUAAUCGCGGAUCAGCACGCCGCGGUGAAUACGUUCCCGGGCCUUGUACACACCGCCCGUCACACCACGAGAGUUUGUAACACCCGAAGUCGGUGAGGUAACCUUUUGGAGCCAGCCGCCUAAGGUGGGACAGAUGAUUGGGGUGAAGUCGUAACAAGGUA